GGAGAGGAGCUGGCGGGCUUUCCCGCGGGCCGGCCUGAAGUGGAAGGGCCCGGGGCUGCCUGCCACCCUCGGAUGCCACGCAGGUGCUGGGGAGGGCCCCUGUCCGUGGGCUCAGGGACGUGUUCGCACCGACAGGCACAGAAUGGAAAGCACCUUGGGGAAGAAGCGUGUCUCGCCAUCUCAGGAGGCAGGCCGGGCGUGCACACCGCCAGCCCCUCCCCGGAGCUCACUGCAGCUCCCCGCCGCCCCCCACGUGCUGGGGAGCGGGUCCGGUUCCCCACCAGUUUGCGUCUGGUCUUUGUGUUUGCUCUGGGGCCAGGCGCGCCCUCUGCUGCAGGCCUGGGCUCCUGUUUGGAGUUCUCCUUUCCUUUAUUGCUAAAUUGUCUUGAAAGGCAGUGGCCACACCAACAGAGGUCGUCCGGCCUUCUUCCCACGAAACGAAGCGCCCAAGUGAAAAUGCAUGGAGCCGCGGCAGCUUCUCGGCGGAGGGCUUCCUGGGACGGAAGACACAGGCUCGCCCCAGGGAGACGGAAGCAGGGGAUCGGCUGGAACUCAGCUCGCCUCCUCCUUUCUCAGCAGGGCAGAGAAUCAUGGGCUUGUGCUGACGAAAGCUCCAGAAAAUGGACUCAUUUAACCUUUCCAAAGAUGUUAUCCAAGCUGCAAAAUCUUGGCAAUCUGAAGACCUUUUAAGUCGAUAUACCAAAGAGCUUUAGUCGGGAUUGAAUGCAAAAUGCCAAAAUUUCACUUUUAAAAUCGUCGUAACAUCUAAAUACAACCUAAGCACACUUGUAAACUGAUGCCGAACAGGCACUUUGAGAGCCCUCCCUGCACCCCUUCCUCGCCCCCUCCUUUGUGCAAAUGCUGUUUGCCCAGAACUUCAGCCACUGAAAAUCCUGGGAACUUUCUCUUCCUGGCUGGCAACCUAGCAGUUUGGACUCCCAGAGGAGGUUUUGAAAUCACUGAGGGAUUUAAGCCUCUCUGUGUCAUAGAAAAGCCAACACCCUCCCAGUUGAAGGUGGCCCCAAAGAUGCAGGCUUGGGACCCAGGACUUCUGCGGGAGAGUGGACGCCUGGGUGCCCCCCCGCCUUGCCCUGCACAUGGUAGGUGCUCAAUAAUUACAUACUAAAUAUUCAUACAAAGCAGUGAUCCUGCCGAAGAGAUCCACUGCAAUGCACCUGGCUUCCUAGAAGCAGUAAAUGAAAAGCUUUUCUAUUUUUUAAAACAGAGAAAAGAUUAAUGAAGCCGUGACGUAGAGGCGGAGAGCUCAACAGAAUCAAGACGUGUGCAGAAGCAAUUUGCUUCUGAAACUCUAAACACGGGUGCUUUAGUACUUCCUGACACUCCUCAGCAGCAAGCAAAUAAAUAUUUACAUGUGGAAGGAAACUGUCCUUUGAAAUGUAGGUUGUUCUAUUCAGAAGAGAAAUACGGCAAGGUUCCACGGCUUUAGUGGCAACACGCGUUAUUUAUGUUUUCCAGUUUGAAAAUCAUGCGCUUUCUAUUAGGACCCUUACGUGGUAAACACCGAUUCCCACAUGAAGCGAAUUAGUCCGGCAACCCUCCCCCACCCCACUCUUGCUGGUUCAGGGACAACAGCAUAAGCUCUGACCAAUCACCGUUUGUUUUAUGCUUUGAUUACCUGGCGAGCUAAAAGCAAUGAUAGUAAAAGCCUGGACCUGCCAUGUAUUCAGUCUGCAUUUGUUACUCUCCCCUUUCUUCCAUUUAUGAGUUUGUUCCCAAAAGAUUUUUUUUUAAAACUUCUGACUCGAGUAACUUUUCCUCUGAUCUGAUCUGAUGUCAAAUUAGUGGGUGGCAGGAGAAAGCAGGCCACAUGAUAUCAUCGUUUCCUAUUCAAACAGAUGGCUUUUUUUUUCAAUAAAAAUACUCUGACUGCAAGGCUAUGAGUGUGCAGAUAAUUGUGCUGCUUCCUCCGAUUGGAGGUGUCUCCAGGGAGUUUCCACGCGCAGGAAGCUUUCCUGUUCUGAGGUUUUGGAAGAACACUUUCAGCAGGAUUUCGGGUCACUGAAAUGAAAGUGAACUAUGCUCUGUACAAAUGCAUCAUGUUUAAUUCAAGAGAAAUUCAUUCAUUUCUUUGUUCCAUAAAUAUUUACUGGCAGCCCGUUUUGUAUAGGAGGCUGCCACCUCCCAAAAGCCCCCCGCUCCUCGAGUGGGUUGAGCCUGAUACCCCUCGUCAACAGAUGUGCCCAGAGGCCUGGGGUGCCCAACACAGGCUCGUUCAGAAUAACAGAGCACGCCAGUGAUCAUAAGAAGAAAAAUUCACACUUAAAGUUUGGAAAGCAACAGGACAAAGGUCUGUCUUCAGUGGGAGUAUCCUAUGAAGAUGGUCUCAAAGCACUUUGAGAUGAACAGAAUGUUCUAUAAAUGGGAAUUGAAAAUAAUCAAGACAUUCAUGGAUCCAAACAGGCCACAGAAAUACCAUAGCAACAAAUGAACAAUAAUUGCUGCAUUAUGGGCUCUUUCCCCAGCUGCACUCAUGCAAUCAAAGCUCUGCUGCGUCUUCAGAAGGAGCCCAGGUCAGGUCUGGCUGCCAUCACCCAUGAGGAAGACGUGCGGAGCCAGACAGAUGCCUGGAGGAAAGGUGGGUGUGUGCUGUCCUGCCCCAUCCUCUCUGUUUCCCUCCCACAUGUUUGCAGAGACGUCCUCAGCAUGGAACCAGGGCCCUUGACAGAGACAUUGUCAUUCCGGACCCCCCACACCCAAGCCAGUUCAUCCAAGUCACCUGAUGAUGUGCUCUGAAGAAACUACCUGUUGCAGCAAACUCCUUACCUUACUGGACGCGUCGCCAUGGCCAGCGCAGGAUGAGGCCGUGGGCGGAUCUUAAUGACACAGUCCAUCCUGCAAACCAAGGUCAACAAGGCGGCAGGUAUGGCCACAGCCCCUCACCGUGGACUCUGGACGAGCCAAUACACGGUGUGCUAUUCCCCAGUUAUUUCUGAAUACAGCCACAGGGAGAUGUGAACCAGCCCCACUUCCCUAGGGCACACAGAGGCUAGAAAGGAUCCACAGGACCUGUUCAACUUGCCAAUGAUCCCAAACUCCUGAUCCAGGCAGAUCACUAAGACAGAGAAAUAUUCCCUUUUCUAGGAAUGCCCUCUGGCCUCACCCUGCUCAAUGAUGUGUCCACUAGCUCGACACACCCCAGUUAGUGGGGGCAUCUUCUCCAGCGGUAGGGGGGACUGCAGUGGGGGCAGCUGUGGAGAUGGCAGAAUCUUUCCUGCGGGAUUCUGGAAUGUCGUAUCCCCUCUGGAAGAGACACAAGGAGUGAAGGUGACACUGGGAAGGGUGUGGGAGGGAGAACCUUCCUUACUGCCUGGCGUCCCUCAGGGGCCAGUGACCAACCUUAUUAGCCACCUCUGUGCAUUCAACCGCUUCCUCUCUCCUGAGGCAGCCAGAGCCUGAAUAUCUCAGCAAGGCAUUAAGAAAAGCUUUAAUAAUUGAUUUAAUUAAAGUCUAAAAAUUAUAGAACCAGCUCCUAUGAGUUGAGUGAUUUCAGAGCUCUCCUUUUCUUUGCCGUCUUCGAAGGGUAAUCUGGAUGCUGGAGGGUUGCUCUCUGGCUUGACAAACUCAGUUUGUUUCCAUAGUUACAAAACACUUGUGCUCUUCCCGACCCACAAUCCAUCAGGAGGGGUACACUGGCUGCCUGGUAACCACGAGAUCAUUUCCUGAAUUGGCAGACCUCUUUAACACUGUCUAAACAUUAGAAAGGUGGGUGACCACACCUGUUUUGUGCACUCCCUGACAAUCUCAUUUUGAUUUAAGUAUUUUGUAGGAAGCAAAGUAAAGACGAUUUGCACUACAAAUUACAAAUAUUUAUAUCUAAUCCCCCAAUAAAUUCAAGGGAAAAGGCGGGAACUUGAAAGAGCGCGAGCAGUCGCUGCCGUGCCCCAAGGAGUUUGCUCUCGCCCGGGCUGACUCCAUG